rnacentral:tRNA from 1 species
GCGGAGGUUGCCAAGCUAGGUCAAAGGCGCAGGCCUGAGGCGCUCGAAUCGAGGGUUCAAAUCCCUCCCUCCGCACCA